UGGGGAAUAUUGGACAAUGGGCGCAAGCCUGAUCCAGCAAUGCCGCGUGUGUGAAGAAGGCCUUCGGGUUGUAAAGCACUUUUAUCAGGAGCGAAACGCUGUCGGCUAAUACCCGGCGGAACUGACGGUACCUGAGGAAUAAGCACCGGCUAACUUCGUGCCAGCAGCCGCGGUAAUACGAAGGGUGCAAGCGUUAAUCGGAAUUACUGGGCGUAAAGCGUGCGUAGGCGGUCUCUUAAGUCUGCUGUGAAAUCCCCGGGCUCAACCUGGGAAUGGCAGUGGAUACUGGGAGGCUAGAGUGUGUCAGAGGGUGGUGGAAUUCCCGGUGUAGCGGUGAAAUGCGUAGAGAUCGGGAGGAACAUCAGUGGCGAAGGCGGCCACCUGGGACAACACUGACGCUGAGGCACGAAAAGCGUGGGGAGCAAACAGGAUUAGAUACCCUGGUAGUCCACGCCCUAAAACGAUGCGAACUGGAUGUUGGUCUC
rnacentral:rRNA from 1 species